AUCUCAAUUGUAUUAAACUUUGAUUCUUUGAACUUUCAAUUUUGAAUUUUCCAAUUCUGUUCUGUGAUUGAAUUGUUUAUUUUGAUUAAACAUUCAUUUUCAUUUCGGUACAAACACUUUGAGUAAUUUUGUGUUGGUAUUUUACCGAUUAUUUAAUCUCUCGUGAAAUUUCGUUUAAAUACUCAAUAACGUUGACCAAACUGUAUCAAAAUGAUGGACGAAAUCUUCGAUAAACUUUUAAAAUACGGUAUGUUCCUAGGAGCUAUAUUCCAACUAGUUUGCAUCGCUGCGGUCAUAAUACUCCCUGAACAAGGGAAGGUCCAAAAAGAUUACAGCACGUACGAACUUUCAGAGAGUGACUCGGAUAGUAACAAUCACGGAUAUAAACGUCUCCAUAUGCACCACCGUAGCCGAAAACAAGAGAAGAAAAAAAGACGGUAACAAAACGUUUUCUCCAAGAAAUUCGGUUUCAAAAAGAAAAAGCUAAAACGUUCUCCAGCUUGAACUAAUUUCUUCUAAAAAGCAGGGUAUUUUCGUGUAUUCGUUUAACCAACCUAUAUCGUCUGUCUCUCUAUCUAUCAGAGCUUGUUUACCACGAAUAAUAAUUUCAUUAUUACCAUAAUAAUGAAUUUAUAAUACAUAAAUACUAACGUAUUACGGCUGUAAAGGCACCUAUCGUUAUCAAAACCCAAGUAUCUUCCGUAUAAUUCUAGUCAUUUAAAUAAUCUGUUCUAUAUCGCAUCAAAUGUGUUACUUUAUAUAAGUAAGCUUUCUACGUACCUUUACGUUACGGUGGCGACAUUGGUACUUUUUACAACAUUGUGAAUUGUUAUUUUUUUGUUGUUGUACGGAUAUACGAGCAUUGUUGAUUGCAAAAUUAUGUACACGCAGGUUGUGAAUAGUGUAUAUUGUUGUAUGUAAGUCAUUUUUUAAGGUUAAAUGUACGGUUACGACGUUACUCGUACGCACCAUACGAGUUGUAAGACGUUUUUUUACCCAUUGUCAAGCACUACAAUCGACAAUACAAACUAUUCGAUGUGAAAUAAGCGAAUGUAUGUGUAUUUUACUAAAAUUCAAAUAAGCAACACCAGCUGUUAAGUAUUUUAACAGACAUCUGUUCGUUAGUCGCUUCGGCGGAAUUGUAUUUACUUUCUUGCUUUUGUUUAUUUGUUACAUACUCUGGACCCAGCAUUCCUUAUUUUAUUUCAUUAGCUUAAUUUGAACUUUCUUCAUUGUUUUUCCAUUUUCGUUUCAUUUGUGUAUUGUUAAUGUUCGUUUGAUAUUUGUUUUACCCUUGUAAAUAAACGUAUCCAUUUAUAACGUUUCAAAUUUCAUUCCAAGUAUUCGGCGCAAUAUUGAUCAGAACAGGUUACUUUUCAGCAACAAAUAAUUGUUUAAAAAAGAAAAAUGUAUUUCGUAAUAUAUAAAAAAAAACAACAUAACAAGGGAGCUUAAGAAAAUAUUACAUUCUAAGCUACGCUAAUAAUUAAUAAUUCACAUUUGAAGAGCUUAAAUAUCUACAAAAAUUUUGGUAAGAUCCCUACGUGUGCUGUUCAUCUUAAUACGUGUUGCCUCCUGUUUAACUGACUCGAAACUUAAAAUUAAGAUAUUGAAAGACGAGUAUGAAUACUUAUUAAAUAAUCAAAUACAAUCAUUACAGAAUGCAUGAGGGAAAAAUACAAGGUAAAGUAAAACGUAGUCAUAGGUAGGUAGUAGGUACCCUUACAAUCUAGAUUAUUUAUGGAAAUAGGUGGCGCUGGUAGAUGCUCAACAAAUUCCGCAAUUCUUUUUCCAACUAAAUAUUUCAAUGCGAGGAACUCUUAUAAUCACACAACAUGACCACACAGGUACUUUUGAGAUCAACAUUUCGAGACUUAUCAAUCUCAAUUGGUUGCCCAAAGAGAAUAUUUUUCUGUUCGAAAAUCGAAAUUGAUUUCUACAACGAUAUCUUAAUUUCUUGAAUUAUCUUCAACGAGAAUUUUACAAGUUUAGCUUCAUUAGAUGAAAUGAAUAAUGAUAGCUGAAUAUUUUCAAAAUAGCACCUACGAUCUACAAAAUCUCUAGUACAAUAAAUAAAUGCAUUCAAUGUUCACCCCCUUUUCUUUAGGUAGGCAGUAAGCCUAAAAUGACUCCAUAAGUAAUUUGGUAACCAUAACGUAACGUUCACAUCUUUUCAUCACCAGCGCACACCGCGAAAUUUAAGAGCUCAUUACGCCUUUUGGUAUUUUGUGAGUAACAUAUUAAUUAAUAUUAACGACGAGGAAACAUUAUGAAAUAUACAAAAUCACGUACCUUCUUAGCAUAAGUCUUCAGUACACAAUGUACACGACGAACAGUACAGAAACAAAUUAUAUACUUUACAAAAUAACUAAAAAUUGGCAAAAAUUAUCAAGUCUUCUAAAAUAAUCUUUAAUUACAUUUUGAUUAACAUGCUAAAUUGAAAAAAAAAUUCCUGUCCUGCAUUCUUUGGCGUUGAUUUACAAUUUAAAUUUAUAAAACAAAAGGAAGAGGCACAGUAGCACAAGCACUUUGCAAACACGUACGGACAACCGGUAAGUCGUGGACGCGUAAUCACAGAUUAGAUCAACUUCCGAAUCGAGGCGCGUAUUUGCAAAAACGUUUGUUUACAAAAAUUAAAAAUAGGUAUCACAUCCUACUUAAUGAAAUUAAUAUUUAAUUAUCAAUUUUUUUUCAAAAUGCGAUUGAUUUUAACAUAUAUUUUUUUUGAGACUUGAGAGUAUACUUUGUAUAAUUUAAUAAAAUUAUGGGUAAAAGAAAUUGCCUACAAAAAAUAAUGUGAUGUAAUAUUUUAAUUUUAAUUUUAUAAUAGGUUGAGUUGCGACUGCAACUAACUCAAAGACAGUACGUCAGAAUUCAUAAUAACAAAUAAUUCGGAAACAUUAUACUUCAAAUUUUAAACAAAAACUGGAAAGCAAAAACUGCCAAAAAUAAUAUAUGGAUCCGGAGAUGAAAAAUUAUGAUUUUGAUUUUUUCCAAACAAAUAAAUUUGCAACCGACGAAAUAAAAUCUCAGAUUUCAACAAAGAAAUUUUAGGUAAUUUUUAAAGAUGAAAUAUACUGUUCUGUACCACAUCUUCAUUUUCGAAUCAGUUUUUUUUUCAAAUUUUUUAUUACAAAUUUUUUCCUCGAGCGCCAGCGAUCAAAACACUCGCAGUCAAAUCAUCGAAUGAAACUUUUUUUUUUAAAUUAGCGUCCAAAUGAACAUGUACUUGGCUAACCAUCACAACAAAAAUAUACGUUCGAUGAAAAGGUAAGUAAUUGAUACGCGAAGAGUAUUAUUUAAGAAAACUAAUUAACCUUAAGAAAAUCAUCGCCUGAAUCAAUAAUUAAAAUACAACACUUGGACAGCAGGGCGUAACAUACAUCGAUGAAUAUUAUUUACAUACAAAUUUAUAUGUAAUAAUUUAAAAAAAAAAAUAAGGAAAACAAUAAAGACUGAAAAAUUUUGAGUGAAACAAAACAAUAAUAAAAAAAUCACGAUACUUCAGAAAGCAAGUAAGCAAGUUUCGAUAACACGUACAAAUAGGACUCGAGUGAUUACACACAGAUAAAGAUCGGAGGCAACAAUAAGCAAAAUUUAAAUAUACCAAAAAAAAACAACAAUUUUCUCUCAAUCUACGUACUUUUUUCAGACAAAUUUGAAUCACAAAAUAUCA